AGAGUUUGAUCAUGGCUCAGGAUGAACGCUAGCGGCAGGCCUAAUACAUGCAAGUCGAACGGGUGUCCCUCGGGGCACCAGUGGCGCACGGGUGCGUAACGCGUAUGCAACCUACCUACCACUGGGGGGAUAGCCUCCCGAAAGGGAGAUUAAUACCGCAUAAUACCAUAUGAGGGCAUCUGAGUAUGGUUAAAGAUUUAUCGGUGGUAGAUGGGCAUGCGUGCCAUUAGCUAGUUGGCGGGGUAACGGCCCACCAAGGCUACGAUGGCUAGGGGUUCUGAGAGGACGGUCCCCCACACUGGCACUGAGAUACGGGCCAGACUCCUACGGGAGGCAGCAGUAGGGAAUAUUGGGCAAUGGGCGGAAGCCUGACCCAGCCAUGCCGCGUGCAGGAUGAAGGCCUUCUGGGUUGUAAACUGCUUUUACAGGGGAAGAAAACACCCAUGCGUGGGGAACUGACGGUACCCUGGGAAUAAGCACCGGCUAACUCCGUGCCAGCAGCCGCGGUAAUACGGAGGGUGCAAGCGUUGUCCGGAUUUAUUGGGUUUAAAGGGUGCGUAGGCGGCCCCUUAAGUCAGCGGUGAAAGCCCGGGGGCUCAACCCCGGAACCGCCGUUGAUACUGGGGGGCUUGAGUACAGACGAGGUUGGCGGAAUUGAGGGUGUAGCGGUGAAAUGCUUAGAUACCCUCAAGAACACCGAUUGCGUAGGCAGCUAACUAGGCUGUAACUGACGCUGAGGCACGAAAGCGUGGGGAGCGAACAGGAUUAGAUACCCUAGUAGUCC
rnacentral:rRNA from 1 species